rnacentral:rRNA from 1 species
UACGAAGGGGGCUAGCGUUGCUCGGAAUUACUGGGCGUAAAGGGCGCGUAGGCGGCACUGUUAGUCAGGCGUGAAAGCCCCGGGCUCAACCUGGGAGGUGCGCUUGAUACUCGAGGGCUUGAGUGCGGGAGAGGAGAGUGGAAUUCCCAGUGUAGAGGUGAAAUUCGUAGAUAUUGGGAAGAACACCGGUGGCGAAGGCGGCUCUCUGGACCGCAACUGACGCUGAGGCGCGAAAGCGUGGGGAGCAAACAGG